rnacentral:rRNA from 1 species
GUGUCAGCAGCCGCGGUAAUACGAGGGGUGCAAGCGUUAUCCGGAAUUAUUGGGCGUACAGGGUGCGUAGGCGGCUUAUUAAGUCAAUUGUUAAAUCUCCCGGCCUAACUGGGAACCAGCAAUUGAUACUGACGAGCUAGAGGAUGGAAGAGAGAAGCGGAAUUCUCGGAGUAGCGGUAAAAUGCGUAGAUCUCGAGAGGAACACCGAUGGCGAAGGCAGCUUCUUGGUCCAUUUCUGACGCUGAGGCACGAAAGCGUGGGGAGCAAACAGGAUUAGAUACCCUGGUAGUCC